rnacentral:rRNA from 1 species
UACGUAGGGGGCAAGCGUUGUCCGGAGUUACUGGGCGUAAAGCGCACGCAGGCGGUCUGCUAAGUUUGGAGUGACAGUUGGUGGCUCAACUACCAAAGUGCUUUGAAAACUGACAGACUUGAGGGCUUCAGAGGGACACGGAAUUCCGGGUGGGAGUGGUGAAAUGCGUAGAGAUCCGGAGGAACACCAAAGGCGAAAGGCAGUGUC